AUUGGUUUUAGCUUACGAAUACUUUUGUUGCACAUAUUUCUUCAUUUUCUUGUAUGGGAUGCCAAAUGUGCUGCUGAAUCUGCAGAAUGGUGCUUCUCCAUGUGCUUUAGUAAACCUCAAUUGUUUCACAGAAUACAUGUAAAAAGUGACCCUGGUUUCCACAACUAUACUUCACAGUGAUUCACUACCGUCUGGUGAAAUCCCACACUAGAAGAAGCUGAGACUGCAUGAAAAUCUGGAGACCAAAAUCUGUGCCACAGUGACCAGAAGGGUCGGGAGCUCAUGCCCUGAAAAAAAUCCUUUCGCCAUUGAAGGUGUGCAGCCAGACUGAAGCACUGACCUUCAGGAAGAGGUGAAUUUCAUCAGGAUCUCUUCAUAAUCUGAGAUUUAAGUAUAGGCCACUUGGACACAAAGAAGCAAGCGAGACAUUUCAGCGGAUAAAUAGGAGCAGUAGCCAUCAGCAGAUAUGUCACCACUGCUUGUGCAAGUAACUGGAACUGAUAUCCUCUGUCCAACGAUGGCUGAUAGAGUGGCAGACUGGGUUCUGAAGGAAAGACGAUGCUCUCAGGACAGAUGUGGGAGUACCUGGCCCAGGGACAUCAUCACAGGUUCCUGCCCAGAAGUUUUGCAAAGUGUGGAGGUGAGUGCUGUUAGGAGUUCUGCCUCCCUAGUGGUAAUGAGGGAUAAGCAUGUUAAAACAUGUUAGCACAGCAGGCAAAGGGAUGUGUGAUAUGAUUGCAGUUCUAAAAUGAAAUUAGUGGUGUGAAGGG
rnacentral:lncRNA from 1 species